GUGUCACAGGAAAGGAGAUAAAGAUAGCCCUCUCAACAAGGAUGAAAGAGGCUCUUGUAGCCCACACAGUACAUACACAGUUAAGGCAUUGCUACCUAUUCAGUGUUCCAGUUUUUA
ensembl:snRNA